UGGGUUUAUUUUGGCUCGGGGCUCUGGCAGGGAAGGCGUGGCUACAGGCGCGAGUGCAUGUGUGUGUGUAUGUGUGUGUGUCUGUGUGUGUGUCUGUGUGUGUGUGUGUGCGUGUGGCAGUUGGUGAAGCUGCACCUACAGUCAGGAAACCGAGAGGAGAAACAAGGGCUCGCUCAGUUGCUGCUCACCUUCUGAGUCACUCCAGAGCCCCAGUCAUGGAACGAUGCCAGCCACAUCCCAGGUGGGUCUUCCCCAGCCGCGCGUUAGCUGAAUCUGAAAAACCCGUCACAUGUGCCUGGAAGUCUGCUUCUAUGGUGAAUCUAAGAGCCACCGACGACGGAGCAAGAUGCUACAGCACAGCUCCCCUUUCUUGCCAAGGAGGACAACAAAAAGCCACCGUGAGCUCAGCUCUAUGACAGAUGGGAGAAGAGGGACAGUGGUACGUGUAGCAGGAGGGGUAAUCCCGGACUUUUCCCCCUGCAGGAAGGAGACGGUAGCACCAAGGCAGGCACAAUCUUCAGAAGAUAGGUUUGAUGGACACCUGCUAACAGUUUCUUAUCAUCUUUGCACAACUAUCCAUCCCAACUGCCAGAGGACAAAACAGGGCCUGGACUGGAAUUCUUGAAUAAGGGGGGAUGGGGAAAGAAAUAAAAAGCAAAAGAAAGGACAUGACUGUGCCUAGGUAUGGAGAAAGAGAAAGUUUAUUGUAGAUAUGAGAAAGAACAUAGCCAGAGACAGAAACAUCUGGGAGAAUCCAGAGUGCUCAUGAUCCUGAGCCCUGUAGAGAAAUGGGGAGGGAAGGGAGAGAGGGGAGCAGCUGGAGGUCAGAGGUAACAAGGGGCAGGGAACUAAAAUGUCUAGAUUAUAUAGCCAAGAGCCUGGGGGUGGGGGAGCCCAGCCCCUGGGCUGGAGAGUUGAGGGUGGGGUAUGCCAGCCAUACCCUGUACAGGGUAAGGACUGAGGGAUGCUGGGAGAACUUGGAGGCUAGGCACUCUUCGAUAUGUUAAAUAAGCACUUCUGCCACUUGUCCCAGGUUGAAACUUAACAGUUCUGGAGUAGCAUCUCCCAGCAUUGUAUGACCAGCCAUAGGGUAGGAGUGAGUCUCUCCUUGUGAACUAAAAGUGGAAGGGUCUUUCGAAUGCCUUGGGGUAGCCAUGGAGUCAGACGGUACAAGGCCAUGUACCAGCCUCUGUCUAGUGUGCUCUUAUAGAGCAAAAUAAGAACUUAAAACAAGGGAGUGGGCUCCCGGGGAGAAAGUACAUGUUCUCUGCCAGGCCCCAUUAGCAGCCCCUUAUCCCGAGACUCAGUGUUCAGUGGGAUCAGGCGGGGCUAGCCUUGGAACCACCCACACAGGCCAGGGAAAGUGUCCCUCCUGGCCCCAGUUUCCAAGAUGAUGAUGAGGACGAAGACGACAACGACAGAACAGGUGACCAACCACACUUGUGAGCAGAAGCUUCCAGUGAACGUGUCAGCACUGCCGCUUUGGCAGCUUUGGCCUCUCAACUUGAAUGCGUAGGGAUUUGAAUCCACUCUUGAAGCAGAGACUUUCCCCUCAGACUGAGAUAAAUACAGACAAACCACACAGGAGGCCCUGACUUGGGGAGAGAGUUGGAAGAUUCAGCAAGCUGCUUCUUGAGGGGGCGGGGAGGUGGGAGGGGUCACCCAACCUGAGAACACACAACUUCCUCUUCAGAGUCAAAACACUAAGAAAGAGCUGAGAAGCGGGCCAAUAAAGAGCCAAGAGAAAAAAAAUGGAGGAAGAGAGAAUUUCCACGGAAAUUACUGAGUGGAAAACCCUUUCCUUGAUCUCAUGGGCCCAUGCCAGCCUCGGGCCAACUUCGAAGUUAAAAGAAGGAAGCCAGUAAGGAACCUGUCCAGGAGCUAAUUCUGCCUUUCCUAAGGAACCAUCACUGGCUGGAGCCCAAGAGCAGAGUACAGGCUAUGCUGUGCCCUGAGAAGAGAUGAGUACAUGCGCCCAGCCCAUGGAACACUGGGAGCAGCUCACACCAUCCGGAAACUCUUCCCUAUUUCAAAGCUGGAAUUCCUCCUUCCUUAAUGCGUCCCCCACUUCCUUUCCCCUUUUCCUCAUGUGGCUGUGUUCUUGCCAGCAAAGAAAGUUGAAAAGGAACAAAGGCAUAUGGUUUUCCUAUUAAGACUGACGCCCACGUGUGAGGGGAGCCAGAGGGAAGUGUUCAAAUAAGGGCAACGGAAAUACAUUUAUGUGACACUCAUUUUAUAGGCUGUUUUUUUUUUUUUUAAAAAGCUUGUCCAAAACAAUGAGAUUCUCCUUUGUCCCACUUAUUACAUGUUUGGGAUAUUUAGGAUGUCCUGGAGACCCCUCUACAGAGAGGUAGGAGAAUACAGAAGACCCCGGGUCUAGCUUAUAACAAGUGGUACAGACUUAUUUCUGAGCUGCAUAUGGUGGUACAUGCCUAGAGCCUCGGCUACUCGGCAGGGGUGAGGGAGUGGCGGUCACUUGAGCCUGGCCAGAGCCACAUUGGGAGAAACCGUCCCUUCCUCCCUCCUCCCUCCAAAGUCUUAUUUCUGCCAGACAUUAGCUGUGGACCUACCAUGGUAUACACUCAAAAGUUCCAACACUCAAGAGGCUGAGACAGAGGGAUUGUGAGUUUGAGACCAGCCUGGGCUACAUAGAGAGAGAAACCCUGCCUCAAAAAAGGGUCUGAGAGAAAGCCAAGGGCUGAGAGAAGGCCAUCUCAGCCUCACUGGUUAAAGAGCUUACUACACAAACCCAAAGAUAAGAACUGGAGUUCAGAUUCUCAGAACUCACAUAAAUGCUGGGUGACAACGGUGGUGGCUCGUCACAGCCUUUAUAAUCCUCAGCUUCUCCUAUUGGACAAUCGGGUUGCGAUAGCCUUGCCACGUUCUACACAGGGGCCUUGCCUGGUGCAAAGGAGGUCCUGACAAUGGAAGAGAAAGGGAAGGGAGAAAGAGAGGUAAGAGAAGAGGAGGGAGGUGGGUGAUUACUCACACCAGAGCUAGACCUCGGUUGGCACAGUGCUCACCUAGCAGGGGCUUCCUUGUUCCCACCAUACUUCGUGCCCUGACCUAGCUGGCAUGCCCCACCUUCCGUCUCAGCAGGGGACAGCUGGCCUUGCUGUUGUCACCAGUACAUAUAACUUUUUUUUUUCUGUGAGUUCCGUAAGUUCCGAGGACAGUUUGGCAGGCUUUGGGGACAAGCACCUUUGCCUCCUGAGCCAUCUCCACAGCUCCUGCUUAUGCCUGAAAACGUCUACUGUGCACAUAAACCUCAUUUUCCUUACCCAUCCCGCUGUUCAUACAGUACUGCAAUAAACAUUGAUUUGCAAGUGUCUCCGCGAUUGGCUGAUAGCGAACCUCCUGGGUAAAUACCAAGAAGUGAGAUGGCUGAUCAUAUGGAAUAUCUAUUUUUGUGUAUUGAGAAAUGACAUGCUGACUUCCACAGUCAGCUUAGUUUCCAGUCCCGCUAGCAAUGACUAAGGGCUCUCUUUUGCCCACAUCACCACCAGCAUCGUUUGUUGUUUGUUUUCUUUAUGACUGUCUUUCGGAGCCAGGCCAGGUAAGGUAGUCCCCAUGUAGAUUCCAUAUGCGUUUCUCUGAACGCUUUUGAAGUUGACUUUCCCAUGUGCUUAUUGGCUAUUUACGCUUCCGGUUUUGAGGUCUGUCAGUCCACUUCAUCUGCCCAUUUUGAACUUGUUCGUUUGCUUUUUUGUUUGUUUUAGUUCUUUGCACGCUGUAGAUAUUAAUUCUCUGUCAGAUGUAUAGCUGGUACAGAUAUUUUUUCCCCAUUCUAUAGGCUGUCUUCUUGAUCAGUUGUCUCUAUUCCCAGACUCAUUUCUAAACACCCUAAGAUGUGCAUUGGCUCCUGGUGGGGGGGGGGGGCAGGGAGAUGGGAGGUAUUGGUUGAAGCUGACUCAAAGACACAGUUCCUGAACCUGCUGCACAUGUGGUACCCACGCCUCCCCUGUGCACUCCUGUACAAAUACCCUUUCCUGUUCUUCCCAGGACUCCACGGAACAGCGCGUAGAGAAUGCUAAAAGACUCACUUUGGCCCCAGUGGGACUCUUGGUCCCCGGAGAGCAGAGCUCCCCAGCUGUAAGUGUGUGCACUCCAGGUGGAGUGAUGUGCAAGGCUGGGCCAGCUGCUGACCUCACAUUCGCCUAACUGGUUGUGUUAGGGGGUGUGCCACCUUCAUGGGAGCCUGGUUGGGUUUCCUGUGGGUUCCCACGGGGAUAGGCCUUUCUGGGAGGGGUCUGGUGCCACCUUUCUUUCCCUGACCUGGUGACAACUCCACUCACCCCUCUGGAUGCCUCAGUCAUCAGUCUGUCUGGCUUGUUCAGGGGAAGUCAGAGCUCAUAAUGAUUCCACUAAUCCUCAUGUGGUGACACACUGUGGGUUGUUUUCUUAGCACGGGGGGCAGGGCCUGGGAGAUCUUUGCUGACUGCAGCAUGGCCUGUGUGGUCUGAGAGUGGGGAAAGGGGCUGCUCCUUCCUGGGAACAGGGAGACAUUGGCAGUGAAGACCCAGGUCACGGGUCCCGAAGGGUUCCUGCACAAUUCCUAUAAGUUUUGAGACUUCCCAAAGCUGAACUCUCUCCGCCCAACCUUUGCUUGGGUAGACUGCACUAUAGUCAAUUCCAGCUUCUGGGGGCCUGCUAUUGGGUCAGCAUAACCUGAGGCAAACCAAACACAAACAUCAGAGUCCUCCUUCCUGUGCACGUCUGAGGCCAGAGCACCUCUUUAAAGGAUGGCCAGGAGCUUCCCAUCUUCCGCAACGAUUCUCACUAACCAACCCUCUGAGCUCAGGGAUCCUCAGCGUGUGCCAAAUCGCUGGAAACCAGGUCACAGAGAAACCAGUUGGCAGAGAAAGACUGGAAGCCCUUCCCCACCUGGCCGGGCACUCUCCCAGAAGGUGCAGAAGAGGUGGGGCUUCAUGACUUUAAGGCUGUAAGGCUAAUUACUAUGCCUUCUAAACAGACAGUGAAAGGGGACAGGAUACAACGUACCACCUACCCCUGUGAUUUGAUUCUGAAUAUCUGUCGGAGAGGUACAUCUCUUUGAUGUGUCCACUGUGCUGGCCUCUCACAAAUGUCAGAUAGGAAGCCUGAUAAGGAGCUGAGCCCUGCAUUACUCAGAACCCAGUCCUCAGUGUUAGGAUUUGCAUGGAGCCAGGAAACUAGCUUGGCAUGCUCUCUCAGAAGCCCUGGACAUCUUGAAGCUUCCGUUGCUGCUUCUGGGUAAACUUCAUACUGUAGAGAAAGAAAACACCCAGCCCAUCUCCUUCAGAAAGGCUGGGAAGUGGGAAAAGCCACUCUCAGACUCUAGCAGGCAGCUGAUGCAGGAGGGGUUCAGGUGCUGUUAACACUAUGGGGAACAGCCAGGCGGUGG
rnacentral:lncRNA from 1 species